GAUGAACGCUGGCGGCGUGCCUAACACAUGCAAGUCGAGCGGUCUUAGCCUUCGGGCGAAAGAUAGCGGCGGACGGGUGAGUAACACGUGAGUAACCUGCCUUAAACAGGGGAAUAACAAUGAGAAAUCAUUGCUAAAACCCCAUAAGCUCCCAGCUUAGCAUUAAGCAGAGAGAAAAUAUUUAUAGGUUUAAGAGGGGCUCGCGUCUGAUUAGCUAGUUGGUAGGGUAACGGCCUACCAAGGCGACGAUCAGUAGCCGACCUGAGAGGGUGAUCGGCCACAUUGGGACUGAGACACGGCCCAAACUCCUACGGGAGGCAGCAGUAGGGAAUCUUCCACAAUGGACGAAAGUCUGAUGGAGCAACGCCGCGUGAGUGAUGAAGGUUUUCGGAUCGUAAAACUCUGUUGUAAGGGAAGAACACGUACGAGAGGAAAUGCUCGUACCUUGACGGUACCUUACGAGAAAGCCACGGCUAACUACGUGCCAGCAGCCGCGGUAA
rnacentral:rRNA from 1 species